rnacentral:ncRNA from 1 species
UACCUGGUUAAUCCUGCCAGUAGUCAUAUGCUUGUCUCAAAGAUUAAAUGACACAUGACUAAAUACAUGUCAUGUUAGGUGAAACUGCAUAUGGCUCAUUAAAUCAGUUAUGAUUCCUUGGAUCAUACCUUACUGCUUGGAUAACUGUGGCAAUUCUAGAGCUAAUACAUGCUGCAGAGUUCAUCCUCUGGGGAUGAGCACUUUUUAGACAACACCAAUAGGACCUUGUGUCUGUAUUAUGUGAUGACUCCAACUUUCGGCUGAUCAUACGGGUUCGUUCCACCAACAUAUCUUUCAAGUAUGAACAUUAUCAAUUGUCUGCAGUAGGUUACGCACCUACCAUAAUCAUAACAGGUGACGGAGAAUCAGAACUGUAUUCUGGAGAGGGAGUCUGAGAAACAACUACCACAUCCAAGAAAGGCAACAGACACACAAGUAAUGCACUCCCAGAAUAGAGAUAUAGUGAUGAAAAAUAACAAGAUGGGAUAGCAUUAACCUGAAUGUUCUUGAAAUGUCUGUAAUGUUCUUGUAUAUCUGUAAAUGGGAGGGAGGGGGAAAAAAAGAAAGAAGAAAAAAAAAAAAAAAAAACC